AGUGAACGCUGGCGGUAGGCCUAACACAUGCAAGUCGAACGGCAGCACAGUAAGAGCUUGCUCUUACGGGUGGCGAGUGGCGGACGGGUGAGGAAUACAUCGGAAUCUACUUUUUCGUGGGGGAUAACGUAGGGAAACUUACGCUAAUACCGCAUACGACCUACGGGUGAAAGCAGGGGAUCUUCGGACCUUGCGCGAUUGAAUGAGCCGAUGUCGGAUUAGCUAGUUGGCGGGGUAAAGGCCCACCAAGGCGACGAGCCGUAGCUGGUCUGAGAGGAUGACCAGCAACACUGGAACUGAGACACGGUCCAGACUCCUACGGGAGGCAGCAGUGGGGAAUAUUGGACAAUGGGCGCAAGCCUGAUCCAGCCAUACCGCGUGGGUGAAGAAGGCCUUCGGGUUGUAAAGCCCUUUUGUUGGGAAAGAAAAGCAGCAGGUUAAUACCCCGCUGUUCUGACGGUACCCAAAGAAUAAGCACCGGCUAACUUCGUG
rnacentral:rRNA from 1 species